CACCUCUAGCAUUACAAGUAUUAGAGGCAUUGCCUGCCCAGUGACUAUAGUUAAACGGCCGCGGUAUCCUGACCGUGCAAAGGUAGCAUAAUCAUUUGUUCCUUAAUUAGGGACUAGUAUGAAUGGCUAGACGAGGGAUCAACUGUCUCUUAUUUUCAAUCAGUGAAAUUGACCUUCCAGUGAAGAGGCUGGAAUACAAUAAUAAGACGAGAAGACCCUAUGGAGCUUAAAUUAACAAGCUUAAUUAUUACCUAAAUAUCCUAAUGGAACAAAACAAAAAAUAUAAGCUUAAAAUUUUGGUUGGGGUGACCUCGGAGAACAAAAAAUCCUCCGAAAGAUAUAUAACAUAGACCUACAAGUCAAAGUAACUCAGUUAUCUUAUUGACCCAAAAAUUGAUCAACGGACCAAGUUACCCUAGGGAUAACAGCGCAAUCCUAUUUAAGAGUCCAUAUCGACAAUAGGGUUUACGACCUCGAUGUUGGAUCAGGACAUCCCAAUGGUGCAGAAGCUAUUAAUGGUUCGUUUGUUCAACGAUUAAAG
rnacentral:rRNA from 1 species